AUUGAACGCUGGCGGCAGGCCUAACACAUGCAAGUCGAACGAGUGGCGGACGGGUGAGUCAUGUCUGGGAAACUGCCAGAUGGAGGGGGAUAACUACUGGAAACGGUCGCUAAUACCGCAUACCAUCGGAUGUGCCCAGAUGGGAUUAGCUAGUAGGUGGGGUAACGGCUCACCUAGGCGACGAUCCCUAGCUGGUCUGAGAGGAUGACCAGCCACACGGGAACGGAGGCACGGACCAGAUGCGUACGGGAGGCAGCAGUGGGGAAUAUUGCACAAUGGGCGCAAGCCUGAUGCAGCCAUUCCGCGUGUAGGAAGAAGGCCUGCGGGUUGGAAAGUACGUUCAGCGGGGAGGCGUUACCCGCAGAAGAAGCACCGGCUAGCUCCGUGCCAGCAGCCGCGGUAAUUC
rnacentral:rRNA from 1 species